AACAGGGAUUGCCCUAGUAACGGCGAGUGAACAGGCAAAAGCUCAGAUUUGAAAGCCUUUUUGGCAUUGUAUUCUGAAGUCAGUUUUCUGAGUAUCGGUGUUCAAGUCUUCUGGAAAGGAGCGCCAUGGAGGGUGAUAGCCCCGUACGGCACCACACUCAUUGUAGGAUUCUGACGUGGAGUCGAGUUGUUUGGGAAUGCAGCUCAAAAGGGUGGUAUGCUCCAUCUAAAGCUAAAUAUCUGUGAGAGACCGAUAGCGAACAAGUACUGUGAAGGAAAGAUGAAAAGAACUUUGAAAAGAGAGUGAAAAAGUACGUGAAAUUGUUGAAAUGGAAGGGUAGGCCGCUGUAGUUUUAGGAGAGCCGUGUCUGGGGGGAAGAUAAAUGCUGAAAAAUGUGGCUCUUCGGAGUGUUAUAGUUUCAAGUUCAUAUUCCCAUCCGGGCGCCGAGGAUCUUAGGCUCUCGCUUAGCGGUGGUCUACCACCCGUCUUGAAACACGGACCA
rnacentral:rRNA from 1 species